rnacentral:rRNA from 1 species
UGGGGAAUCUUCCGCAAUGGACGAAAGUCUGACGGAGCAACGCCGCGUGUAUGAUGAAGGUCUUCGGAUUGUAAAGUACUGUCAUUGGGGAAGAACGGUUUUCUUGAAAAGAUUGAGAAGACAUGACGGUACCCAAGGAGGAAGCCCCGGCUAACUACGUGCCAGCAGCCGCGGUAAUACGUAGGGGGCAAGCGUUGUCCGGAAUUAUUGGGCGUAAAGGGCGCGUAGGCGGGCCUUUAAGUCCGGUGUGAAAGAUCAGGGCUCAACCCUGAGAGUGCAUCGGAAACUGGAGGCCUUGAGGACAGGAGAGGAAAGUGGAAUUCCACGUGUAGCGGUGAAAUGCGUAGAUAUGUGGAGGAACACCAGUGGCGAAGGCGACUUUCUGGACUGUAACUGACGCUGAGGCGCGAAAGCGUGGGGAGCAAACAGGAUUAGAUACCCUGGUAGUCCACGCCGUAAACGAUGAGUGCUAGGUGUAGAGGGUAUCGACCCCGUUCUGUGCCGCAGUUAACACAAUAAGCACUCCGCCUGGGGAGUACGGCCGCAAGGUUGAAACUU